AUUGAACGCUGGCGGCAGGCUUAAUACAUGCAAGUCGUGGGGCAGCGCAGGUAGCAAUACUGGGCGGCGACCGGCAAACGGGUGCGGAACACGUACACAACCUUCCGAGAAGUGGGGAAUAGCCCAGAGAAACUUGGAUUAAUACCCCGUAACAUAACGAUGUGGCAUCACAUUGUUAUUAUAGCUUCGGCGCUUCUUGAUGGGUGUGCGGCUGAUUAGAUAGUUGGCGGGGUAACGGCCCACCAAGUCUACGAUCAGUAGCUGAUGUGAGAGCAUGAUCAGCCACACGGGCACUGGGACACGGGCCCGACUCCGACGGGGGGCAGCAGUAAGGAAUAUUGGUCAAUGGACGCAAGUCUGAACCAGCCAUGCCGCGUGAAGGAUUAAGGUCCUCUGGAUUGUAAACUUCUUUUAUCUGGGACGAAAAAAGGCGAUUCUUCGUCACUUGACGGUACCAGAUGAAUAAGCACCGGCUAACUCCGUGCCAGCAGCCGCAGUAAAAC
rnacentral:rRNA from 1 species